CCUCCUUCUAUUUUUUGGCCAUCGCUAUCCUCUUAUGAAGCCCUAGGUGUGCCGCCGCCGUCGUCAUCCCCUGGAACCUCGGGCUCGCAGCCCUUGGCGUUGUCGUCUCGACAUAUCCCAGCACCCCGCUCCUUCCCAAUUCCCUUCCUCUCGCGACCUUGAGCAGCCUAGGUCAGCCGUUGCUGCCACAUCCCUUCCCUUUGGUCCGCAGAUCCUCCUGGUGCCGUUGUUCACCGUUCGAAAACUACCCGCACAUGGACGGCCGGUAACCACUCUUGAAGUCUUGAUGACGAGGCGUUUGCCUAUGGUGACAGACUGACAGUUCGACCCCAAAUGCGAGCUGUGAAGGAAACUGCCCCAACCCGGCUGCAAGGACGACGGCGAAAAACAGAGCUGCAUAGUGAAGACGACGGACAUUUGUACCAUCGGUGCUGACGUAGUCAUCUACCUACAUGUCGUGGAAGAAGCAUGCAUAACAACGACGAGCUCAUUCUUGAAUUCCAUCUGAGCACCGAAUUUAACUUUAUAUUUUGGGCCGUAUGGUGACAUCUACAAUAUGAUUUGUUUGAGCAAUAAUAAAAGGAAUGUUCCUUCCAAUAAAACACAUUUGUGUUGGCUUUAAACGACCCAGGAUUUGAGGACAGAAUGGUGCUGCUGAGACCAAAAGUGCCGGUGAUUUCUGAACAUGCACUGAGCUAACUAAAGCUGACAUUGAUUCUGUAGCUGCUUCCAUUGGCACAAGCAUUGGGAGUAUCAAAUGCACCAACAUUACUGAUAGCAUUGCUGAUUUCCGCAUGCAAUUGAUUCGUCCAUCUGCUGCUUAGUCGCAUCACAUACUCCGUCCUUUAAUUGUAUUGCCAAUAUCAUUUACAUAUACGUAACUGACAGA